AGCGAACGCUGGCGGCAGGCUUAACACAUGCAAGUCGAGCGGGCAUCCUUGUGGUGUCCGCGGCAGACGGGUGAGUAACGCGUGGUAACGUGCCCUUCGGUUCGGAAUAACUCAGGGAAACUUGAGCUAAUACCGGAUACGCCCUUUUGGGGAAAGGUUUACUGCCGAAGGAUCGGCCCGCGUCUGAUUAGCUAGUUGGUGAGGGUAUGGCUCACCAAGGCGACGAUCAGUAGCUGGUCUGAGAGGAUGAUCAGCCACACUGGGGGUGAGACACGGCCCAGACUCCUACGGGAGGCAGCAGUGGGGAAUAUAGGACAAUGGGGGCAACCCUGAUCCAGCCAUGCCGCGUGAGUGAUGACGGCCUUAGGGUUGUAAAGCUCUUUUCUCCGGGACGAUAAUGACGGUACCGGAGGAAUAAGCCCCGGCUAACUUCGUG
rnacentral:rRNA from 1 species